GGAUUUGUUUGUGGUGUUGUCAAGAUUUGGAUAUCAAUGUAAUUUGGUGCUGGUUAUGGUAUGUAAAGGGAAUGAUUUUGCCUGAUUUGAAUAUUUUUUGCUUUCAGAUGGAUCAGCUUGAUGCAUGAAUAUGAGGCUAAAAAGUUUAGGAUGGAUGAGCUGUUGUUAAGGGGCGUUAAUAAACUGCUCCCAGCAGUGAUUGUAAAGAUCAAGAACAUAGAUUAGCUUAAUAUAUGUUGCAACAAGGGGGAAGCUAGCUGCUGGAAUCAUAGCCUAGUCCUCAGGAUGUUUAUAUAUUGCUCCCAGCAGUGGUAGUCAAGAUUCAGC